rnacentral:lncRNA from 1 species
GUAAGUCCAGCCCGAGGCUAAGGUGAGAGCGUCUGCCGGGACAGUGUGGCUGGACCCACGUGGCAGGAGGUGUUAACCACCGAAGGGAGGUAGAAUGUUUUUCCCCACCAGAGGAGGCAGCGACCACGUCUCCUCUAUGGAGGCAUUCAAGAGCCGUCCAGCUGAAGCAGCAUCACUGUCUGAGCUCGGAAGGCACAAUCCACAUAGGUCUGCAUGGUCCACCGAGCUGCAUACCCACGGGGCCAGCGGGAGGUGGGCAGCUGCUGGGCUCUCUUCUGAAGCAGGGUCUUGCUCUGUCACCCAGUCUGGAAUGCAGUGGUGCCAUCAUAGCUCACUACAGCCUGAGCUGUACUGAGCUCGAGGGAUCUUCCCGUCUCCGCCUCCUAAGCAGCUGGGACUACAGGUAAUGGAAGUGGGCAGAGAAUGAUCCUUUCCCUAGGCUCCAGUGUGUAAGAAUUAAAGAAAGAGGAAAGAAACACAAUGGCUUGAUGGUCGAGGACAGGUUUAUUUUAAAGAAAACAAACCCAAGAGUGGCUUCUGGCUGAGUUAGAUCAGAGGCAUGCUCUCUUACAGACUAAGAGUUUUUAAGGAUUCAGGGUGGGAGAGUUUAUCAGAGGCUUGGACUGCUUCUGUGUCUCUUUAGGUGUGCUUAUCUGGGAGGGAGUUGUGUGUCUGUUUCCAUACAUCUUCCUGCAGCUGCAGGCAUACCCCCAGGUCUGCUUUUAGCUUCCCUAUCUUAGUGCACCUGAAGGGAAAGAAUGUGCUUAUUAAGGCCCACUGUUAUACUGGGGCCCAAUGUAUGAGGGUGAAGUUUGGCAAUUACCCAAGAGACUUUCCCCCCACCUCCCUCUGUGCCUGAGCUGUCUCAUCUAUGUUUUACUGUCUGCUCUUUCUGUCUGCUUGUUGUUAGAAGAGAAGUGAUUUUCUUGAAAUGCAUGAGGCUGGAAAGGGAGCUGGCACUUAAAGUGGCGGUGUUUGUCCGAGAGGAUGGUGCUCCUGCUCUGUCACAGUGGGCAUGGGGAUUCAGGCCACUGCCACCGAAUUUCAAGAGCCCAAGCACAGAGCCCAGAACUAAAUUGUGAGGGUUUAAAAAAAAAAAAAGCUUUAUUGAAGUAUAAUUGACAUACAAUAAACUUGAAUAUUUAAAGUGUACAAUUUAUGCGUUUGGGCAUUUGUAUAUACCCCUGCAACCAUCAGCACACUGAAGAUAAGGAAUAUACCCAUUACCCCUGAAAAUUUCCCCAUGCC